AGCUCCAAUAGCGUAUAUUAAAGUUGUUGCAGUUAAAAAGCUCGUAGUUGGAUUUCUGGUAGGAGCGACCGUGCCGAACUUGAUUGUUUGUGUAUUGUGUUGUCUUCAGCCAUCCUCGUGGAGAACUUUUCCGGCAUUAAUUUGUCGGGAUUGGGACCCGCGUCGUUUACUGUGAAAAAAUUAGAGUGUUUAAAGCAGGCAAUCGCUUGAAUACAUUAGCAUGGAAUAAUAAGAUAGGACUUUGGUACUAUUUUGUUGGUUUGCAUACCAAAUUAAUGAUCAACAGGAACAGUUUGAGGAUAUUCGUAUGAACAUGUCAGAGGUGAAAUUCUUGGAUUUUGAUCAGACGAACUACUGCGAAAGCAUUUAUCAAGGAUGUUUUCAUUAAUCAAGAACGAAA
rnacentral:rRNA from 1 species